rnacentral:sRNA from 1 species
UAUGUGUAUGAUUGAGUAUAA